GAUGAACGCUGGCGGCGUGCCUAAUACAUGCAAGUCGAGCGCAGCGGGGACGGGUGAGUAACACGUGGAUAACCUCCUAUACGACUGGGAUAACUUCGGGAACCCUUAGCUAAACCGGUAACCUAUAGAUGGAGCCGCGCUGCAUUAGCUAGGUGGUAAGGUAACGGCUUACCAAGGCAACGAUGCAUAGCCGACCUGAGAGGGUGAUCGGCAACACUGGAACUGAGACACGGCCCAGACUCCUACGGGAGGCAGCAGUAGGGAAUCUUCCGCAAUGGGCGAAAGCCUGACGGAGACACGCCGCGUGAGUGAAGAAGGUCUUCGGAUGGUAAAACUCUGUUAUUAGGGAAGCGGUACCGAAUCAGAAAGCCACGGCUAACUACGUGCCAGCAGCCGCGGUAAUUC
rnacentral:rRNA from 1 species